rnacentral:lncRNA from 1 species
UUUAAUCUAAAAUUAUAUAUAUUAUGAAUUAUAAAAUACAUUUGAUAUAUUUAAUUUGAAUCUAUAUUUCAGGAAUGUUUAGAUGAAGCAUCCUCUGUCAAGACCCAUCCUCCGCAGAGUAGGUCACCCUAAAGACGGUCUCAGUCCACCAAAACAUCACACCAGACACUUUGACAGCGGAGGAUCAAAGGUCAGAAGGGUUUCUUCCAGAUGCAGAACACCACACCAUCGGCCAUAACUGCGUCCCUCGUUCAGCUCACACUGGACCCCUCAGAACGGCUGGUCUUCGUGUUGGACCAUAGAUGGACAGAUCUGCUGAGAAUUGCCCGUGAAGAUCUCUUGGCAACGCACCAUAGGAGCAAGGAUCUUCUUCAACAGGCCGAAGGCUUGUUUUUUGUUGUUGUUGUUUUUCUAUGUUUUCCACAACUUUAAAUUGUAUUAUUAUUAAUAUUAUUGUAGCUGUUGUUGUUUAGUCUACAAUUUUAAAUUAUUUAAUUUAUUUCCAGUUGUUAAAUAAAACAUCAGAAGUAUUGGCCUUGUUUACACUGUACUUUAGUGUGUUAAUUAAUUGUAUUGACUUUGUAUUGUUAUUUUAUCUUGCUCAGUUUUGUAAACACUAAAUGUUAGUAAUGGCUAAUAUUAAACUCUGUAAAUAAUUAUUUUAUUUAAAAUACUCUACCAGUCAAAUGUUUUUCAGCAGAAAGAUUUGUAAUGUUUUUUGAGGAGUCUCUUCUGCUCACCAAGCAUGCCUUUAUUUGAUCCAAAGUACAGCAAAAAAAAGUAGCAUUUUAAAUAUUCUUACUAUUUUAAAUCAGCUGCUUUAUAUUAGAAUAUAUAGAGUAAUUUAUUUCUGUGAUGCUCCGCUGUAUUUUCAGCAUCAUUCCUCCAGUCUUCAGUGUCACAUAAUCUUCAGAAAUCAUGAAAAUAUGAUGAUUUACUGCUCAGAAACAUUUCUGAUUAUUAUUAUUAUUGUUGUUGUUAUGUUAUGUUGAAAACAGCCGAGUACAAUCUUUUCAGGUUUCUUACAUGAAUUGAAAGUUUAAAAGAACAGCAUUUAUCUGAAAUGUAUGUGUGUGUGUAUAUAUAUAUAUAUAUAUAUAUAUAUAUAUAUAUAUAUGACCGUGGUAUAUGUAUGUAUGUAUAUAUAUUUUCUUUUUUUUUUUUUUUUUUUUACAUUUGGCCUUGUUUGAACUGUAUUGAACUGUGUGUUAAGUUUUAUUGAUUAAAAAAUGUAUACAUUUUGUUGAUUUUCUUUUUUAUUGAUAUUAAAUUUUAUUGACUUGCUCAGAUAAUUCAAUUCAAUUCAAGUUUAUCUGUAUAGCGCUUUUUACAAUACAAAUCGUUAGAAAGCAACUUUACAGAAAAUUAUGUUUCUACAAUAUUUAGUAAUAGUUUAUUAGUGGUGACUGUCAGUUUGUGCACCUAUAACAGGAUUUGUAGAAAAUAAUGCAAGACGUAGUCAGCCAGAUGAUGAACAUUAUUAAUAUUAUUAAUUAAUAAUUAUUAUAUGAUGCAGUCACACUUGUAGCAAUAAUUGUUAGUUCUGUUUGUUGAUUCAGGGUUAGCAUCAUCUGGGGUCCUCUGAGGGUCAGCAUCAUCUCUUCUCAGGUGUUCUGGAUCCAGACUGGAGCUUGUGUAAAUCCUAGUUACCACUGGAUGAAGAUCCCAGCAGAAACAGAGAAACACAUAGAGACAUCAUUAGCAUAGCUGCUGAUAUGUAAACACUGAAUGUUAAUAACUGUUACUAUUAAACAUACAUAAUUAUUUAAUGUAAAACAUAUUUUUAUUGUUUUUUUCUGUUCUCCAGAUCUUUAUUUUUAUUAUAUUUGUUGCUGUUGUUUAAUAAUCUAUGAUUAUUUUAUGUAUAUUUAUUUAAUCAUUAUAUAUUUUGGUUCGUUUUUCUUAUCAUUUUUAUAAUAAGUAUAUUACUUUACUAUAAAUAAAAUGGAUAACUUAAUUUUUUGUGAGUGUUAGUUAUAUUACAUAUAUAUAUAUAUAGGUUUUCUGUACACAGUUAUACAAAUAUAAAUAGAUGUCUCUUUAAAAAUAAAGGCCUGAAACGUCAAAAUGUUCUUUUUAAUAAUUCACAAUUUUCUAUAUUAAAAAUAACUAUUCCCUAUUAUAAUGUAUAUGUUUCUUAAGAUCGUUGCACAUUUUGUACACCAUACAAAAGAACAAUUAUUACAAGAUUUAUUUUAUCUUUGUUCACAAAGUUCGUCUAUUAUAUGUUAAUCGUACUUAAAGUGUAUCUAGAUGAAAAAACGAAAACAAACUCAUUGUAUGGUAUUUGUGGCCAAGACGGGAUUCGAACCUCUAAUUCUGUGUAUUUUUUUCGCCCCGCCUUCCUUGAAUUUCCUUCGUUCCUAUUGGCUAGUUAGCGCUCUACACCUAUCCGUGACUGGCCUCUGCGGCCUUCGCGUGUAAAGCAGACGUGAUAACCACUACACUAUGGAACCACUUGUAUAUCACAGAUUGUGUGAACGGGGAAAAAACACACUGACCACCAAACUGGCCGGUCCACAGCUUCGAAUUUAACAAAGCGUAAGAGCCUUUGUUUGUUGUUGAGUUUGGCUCCGUUUUCUUAUCAUUUCUUAUCAAAGCGCCAUGCGUCCUGUGGGAACCAAAGUCAUCCCGAGCCGAGUCUGUCCAAAGUGCAAGACAACUUUGUUGUACAAAUUGCAUUAAAUUUUAAAUGUUUCUUCUCUUACUUCAUAAUAUUUUUU